rnacentral:lncRNA from 1 species
GAAGAUCUUAAGUGAGCCUUCUUGUUUUAUUUUUUAAAAUAUAAUUACUAAUGCACAUUAGUUAUACGAACCAUUGGGUUUCACUGUGAAUUUCCAUACAUGCAUAUGUCAUGUUUUGAUGAUAUCUAUUGGGAGUGGACCAGGCUCCAAAGACUAACUUCCCCAUCCCCCAAGAAGAGCCAUCCAAUGGUGAGCCCUGCUAGGCUCACAUGAUCCUGCCAUCCAAUGGUGAGACCUGCUGGCUCACAUGAUCCUUACCCACCAAUCAGACUAGCCCUGCUGACUCACAUGAUUCUUACCCACCAAUAAGACUAGCCCUGCUGGCUCACCUGAUCCUUACCCUCCAAUCAAAAAGCACCCUAUGCCAACUGUCAAACCACCCCUGACUCUAUAAAUAUUUGGAGCUGUUCCUCAAUAAACGGGCAUUUGCUCUGGUGAAGAGCCUUGUUCGUUCUUUCAAUAUACACCCUCCCAGGCAUAGUGGCACAUGCCUGUAAUCCCAGAGACUCAGGAGGCUGAGGCAGGAGGAUUGCAAGUUCAAGGUCAGCCUUAGCAACUUUGCAAGAACCUAGGCAACCUAGAAAGACCCUGUCUCAAAAAAUAAAAAAUAAAUAGGGCUGGGAUGUGGCUCGGUGGCUAAGCGUCCCUAGAUUCAAUUCGCAGUACCAAAUGGGUGGGGAAAAGAUCUGGUAAAAUAUAAUAGUAUAAUUUAAAAAUAAAAUAAAACAAUGAAUAAAAAUAUAGUCUGGUAAAAUUCAGUGGUGAAUUGAGCUAUAAAAAAUAUUGUUCUGUCUUCCUGAGUUAGCAUCAUUUCUGUUGUUUCUCUUGCUAUUGACUCUAGUUUCACUCUAUUAUGAUCUGAUAAGAUGCAUGAAAUGAUUUCAGUAUUUUGAGUUUGUUAAGAUUUGCUUUAGCAUCUGGGGUUGUGGCUCAUGGUAGAGUGCCUGCCUAGCAC